UAACUUUGUUCCAGGUUUCAAUUUUUGUUAUGCCAUGACUGUGGGUUCUUCCUUCACCUUUGCUGUAUUUUUGAUGUGUAGAAUGAGCAGUUUAAAAGUCCUGACUUGCUGUAAUUUCAAGCUUUUAUAAAACAUCUCAGUGUUUCUCUUGGGCUUUUUUUUUUUUUUUUCAUUUUUUAACAAACUUUUCAUUCUGUCAGCUAAGGAAAUAGUGUGAGUCCUCCACGUCAGCACCAGAAUGGGAGGGCUGAUGGAAGGGCAGGGAGUGAAUGCUUGUAUUGGAGUAUCUGUCAGGGUGUGUGGUGGAAUGCCACAGGGGGGCCAGGGAAGGAGGAGCCUGGGGGAGAGAGGUGGUAGGGUCAGGAUAAAAAAUAUUUGGAAAUCCUGACCCCCAGAAAAUGUCAAUGCAAAACUUGAUGGCUGGGCUAACAGGUGGAUGAGAAACACCCUCUGAGCACAAGCCCAUCUGCAAGCCCCUGCCCUGGAUAUUUCCAAAUCUGGACACUUGGACUGGUGGUAGAGAAGACUGCAGUGGCCACGCAGAGGUGUUAUAGCACGGGGACUUUCCCUUUCCUCAUCUCUCUACUGCAUGUGUGCAUCAAGCCUACUGCUGUCUGUGGUCUUAGCAACCAUUUGAAUGCUGCCUUUUCAAGUUUUAAAGGGGAAUGGGGAAAGCAGAAAUGCAACCUGCCUCUGGCUAUGUGUAUUGUCAGAGAGUGAAAACUACAAAUAAAAACAGUGAGGUGAGUGGGGGGAGAUGGAGGUGGAGGUGUUGCAAGAGCUGUGCUGCAAAAUGUUCCUGCCACUGACAGUGUCAUUCAGUGAUAAUGUCUUGGCACACUACUUUUAGACACUGGUUCAUCCUAUUUCUCCUCUCUUUCCCUGUUGUAAUUCCAGGAUGGGUCUGGGCAGAGAAGGCAGAAGUGGAGGUGUGUAACACAGUCUGCACUGCAAGCCUGAAGUGUGUCAAGUAUUGAAAGAGGGAUUUCUGAAAAAAAGCACAUGGGCUCUACUGUGACCCUUCCGUGUUUCUGUGCAGCGAGGACCUCCUUGUUUCCUGAAUGGCUUGCUCUGCACUCCAGUUAACUCACACCCUGGAUCUCAUCCAAGUACAUUCUGUUUCUUGAUACGAGGCCAGGCUUUGCUGAGCUGUGGUGCCAUUUUCCCCUGCCUGCUCUCCUCCCAGUUCCUCUGUUAUCAUUCUCCCUGCUGAGUGCUGCUAGCACCCCUCAGCCCAAGGGAAGGGCAGAGCCCAGCCCCACGCCUGCAGCCGGAGCAGGCGAGCUGGAACUGCAGUGAAAGACUUCUCCAAGGAGCCUCUUGGCUGAGCUGUCCCCAGCUCAGCCUGCCACUGAGAGGAUGAAGAAAAGCAUCUCAGCUUCAAAGCUCCUGAGCUCCUCUUGCAACCCCUGCCUAAGUAUGAUUUGAACACGGAAAGAGAACAGGCAAGUGACAGCUGUGCCCUGUCAGUUGCAGAGGACACAACUUUAUUUAAUAAACAGUGCCUCUGAUACAAUCAUUCUGCAUGUCAACAUCACCAUCUCUGCUGCUGCCCUGCUUGCAAUAUCCCCAGGAUAAUCAAGGUAACUUUUGUAAGCACAGUAGAGAUAGUACAGCAGAUAGUAAAGGAAGCCAGACUUGCUUCAGUCUUUGUGUCUGUCUGCUCAAUUAGUUUUGGAUCUGACUUACUUCAUUCACAUCUCUUUGAUCUACUGCUUCGAGCACACCCUAAGCCACUUCUGUCCUCCUUCUCCAGUUUCUUAGGCUUAUAUUAUUGCUCCCUGAUGGCUCUGAUCUCACAUUUUUAGCUGCUCCAGGCCUUCCUGAUAUUCCCAGUGAAACUACAACCAUCCUCUCUCUUCAGUCAUUCCUAGGUGUAAAUCUGAUCUCUGUGUUAGUCUGCCAGCUGACUUCCCUGGAGAUUUCCAUACCCCACAGCUCUGUGUGUGUGCUGAGACUGAACAAGAAGACAAGUGAACAAGUGCAAAAAUGGGAGAGUACAACUAAUUUAUUUCUGAAGUGAUGACUGUUUGCAAAUGAAAAGCUUUCACACGUGGUGUGUGAUGUUCAAUAAACCCAACAGCAAACUCCAUGCUGCUCCCAGUCUCACGGGACUCACUUCCCAGGUGUUCUGGGAGCUGCAGGAGUUGGGGGAUAAUGAUGCAGGACAGCAGCUCUGGGACCCUUGACUCUGUCUCCUACUAGGAUGCUUUGGGCUGACAGGAGGUGAAAAUACAUUACCAUUAGGGGAAAUAAUAUCCUGCUCUAACCCUCUUUGUGCUUUUUGCCUUUAUCAGACAAGGACUGUUUCAUGGAGGGACUUACCAGGCUUCCUCCUAGGACUCAGUGAGCAGAGUGGUUAACUCCUUUUCCAGAGGUGGACUGUCUGCAUGACAUUCACCUUGGUCACUGACAUUAUGGUCAGCUGCAGUCUGUGAUGUAAUGUCUGUUGCCUUAAGGGGCAGAAGGUCCAACUCAAAAUGGAGCAAGUAUUGCAAGUCAGAGGAUUUAAAACCUAUGAUAAUGAAUACAGGUUGUUUAUAUUAUUAUAUUGUUAUCAUGUUAUUAUUUUAAACAAUAAUUUACAUUAAAAUCCAUGGUACUUCCAUGAUGAGUGCAGGGUUUUGUGGUUCAUUGUGGUGGUUGAGGUACCUUCAGUCAGACUGAAGGUACCAUACCAGUCAGACUGAAUGUCUGCAGCACAGUUUGACUAUCAGUGAAAUACUUCAACACUUUACCCAAUAUUAAUGCGACUAUCAGUGAAAUACUUCAACACAUUACCCAAUAUUAAUGAUCAGAAAUCUCUAUCAGAACCAUAUGGAGACUUUUCAUUUUACCUUGGUUCAUGGCAAAGGGAGAGUUUUAGAACAAGAACAAGCCAAUGUCAGUGCAGACAGCAAAGAGCUGACUAAAACCUCUUUCUUUUUUUUUUUUUUUUUUUUUUUUUUUUUUUUUUUUUUUUUUUUUUUGAGGGGGUUGUUGUUAAGUUUUUCCUGAGGUGGUGGAUGAUUGCCCUUGCGAAGAUGAUAUUCUUGCACAGCUGGUGGAAUUAUGAUGGACUGAUUACUGACACCACACAGGUCUGAAUUUUACUGCAUUUUUGUAUCAGGACUUACGGAUGUUCCCAUUUAAAAUUUGGAUAAUUGAAUAGCUAGCACAAGUAAAAUGCAUGAGGAGUGAAACUUCUGCAUAUAACAAGCAUUCAGCUCAAAAGCUUUUGAGGCUUAUGUGCAUCUGCACCUUCAACUGUUGAUUUGCUUUAUUAUUUGGGGAAAACAUGCCAUUUGAUGUGAUGACCUCUGCCAGCAGCUUCAUAAAUGUA